rnacentral:misc_RNA from 1 species
UGGUUCUGGCAUCGAUGAAGAACGCAGCGAAAUGCGAUAAGUAAUGUGAAUUGCAGAAUUCAGUGAAUCAUCGAAUCUUUGAACGCACAUUGCGCCCGCUGGUAUUCCGGCGGGCAUGCCUGUUCGAGCGUCAUUAUGACCAAUCAAGCUCUGCUUGGCCUUGGGGCCCGCUGUACCGGCGGCCCUUAAAAUUAGUGGCGGUGCCGUCUGGCUCUAAGCGUAGUAAUACUUCUCGCUACAGGGUCCAGCCGUCCACCCGCCAGAACCCCCAACUUUCUUAGGUUGACCUCGGAUCAGGUAGGGAUACCCGCUGA